rnacentral:rRNA from 1 species
GACGAACGCUGGCGGCGUGCUUAACACAUGCAAGUCGAACGAAGUGGCGAACGGGUGAGUAACGCGUAAGCAACCUGCCCUUCAGGGGGGGACAACAGUUGGAAACGACUGCUAAUACCGCAUACUGAAGGAGGGGAUUGCGUUUGAUUAGCUUGUUGGAGGGGUAACGGCCCACCAAGGCGAUUAUCAGGAGGCGGGCUGGGAGGGUGAACGGCCACAUUGGGAAUGGGACCCGGGCCAGGACCCUACGGGAGGCAGGAGGGGGGGAACUUCCGAAAAGGACGGAAGUCCGACGGAGCACAGGCCGGGGAGUUGUAGCGGCCUUCGGGUUGGAAAACUAUGUUAAUCGGGACGCGGUACCGGAAGAGAAAGCCACGGCUAACUACGUGCCAGCAGCCGCGGUAAUAC